rnacentral:rRNA from 1 species
ACGCUGGCGGCGUGCCUAAUACAUGCAAGUCGAACGAUGAAGCUUCUAGCUUGCUAGAGUGCUGAUUAGUGGCGCACGGGUGAGUAACGCAUAGGUCAUGUGCCUCUUAGUUUGGGAUAGCCAUUGGAAACGAUGAUUAAUACCAGAUACUCCCUACGGGGGAAAGAUUUAUCGCUAAGAGAUCAGCCUAUGUCCUAUCAGCUUGUUGGUAAGGUAAUGGCUUACCAAGGCUAUGACGGGUAUCCGGCCUGAGAGGGUGAACGGACACACUGGAACUGAGACACGGUCCAGACUCCUACGGGAGGCAGCAGUAGGGAAUAUUGCUCAAUGGGGGAAACCCUGAAGCAGCAACGCCGCGUGGAGGAUGAAGGUUUUAGGAUUGUAAACUCCUUUUGUUAGAGAAGAUAAUGACGGUAUCUAACGAAUAAGCACCGGCUAACUCCGUGCCAGCAGCCGCGGUAAUACGGAGGGUGCAAGCGUUACUCGGAAUCACUGGGCGUAAAGAGCGCGUAGGCGGGAUAGUCAGUCAGGUGUGAAAUCCUAUGGCUUAACCAUAGAACUGCAUUUGAAACUACUAUUCUAGAGUGUGGGAGAGGUAGGUGGAAUUCUUGGUGUAGGGGUAAAAUCCGUAGAGAUCAAGAGGAAUACUCAUUGCGAAGGCGACCUGCUGGAACAUUACUGACGCUGAUUGCGCGAAAGCGUGGGGAGCAAACAGGAUUAGAUACCCUGGUAGUCCACGCCCUAAACGAUGGAUGCUAGUUGUUGGAGGGCUUAGUCUCUCCAGUAAUGCAGCUAACGCAUUAAGCAUCCCGCGUGGGGAGUACGGUCGCAAGAUUAAAACUCAAAGGAAUAGACGGGGACCCGCACAAGCGGUGGAGCAUGUGGUUUAAUUCGAGGAUACACGAAGAACCUUACCUAGGCUUGACAUUGAGAGAAUCCGCUAGAAAUAGUGGAGUGUCUAGCUUGCUAGACCUUGAAAACAGGUGCUGCACGGCUGUCGUCAGCUCGUGUCGUGAGAUGUUGGGUUAAGUCCCGCAACGAGCGCAACCCCCUUUCUUAGUUGCUAACAGGUCAUGCUGAGAACUCUAAGGAUACUGCCUCUGUAAGGAGGAGGAAGGUGGGGACGACGUCAAGUCAUCAUGGCCCUUACGCCUAGGGCUACACACGUGCUACAAUGGGGUGCACAAAGAGAAGCAAUACUGCGAAGUGGAGCCAAUCUUCAAAACGCCUCUCAGUUCGGAUUGUAGGCUGCAACUCGCCUGCAUGAAGCUGGAAUCGCUAGUAAUCGCAAAUCAGCCAUGUUGCGGUGAAUACGUUCCCGGGUCUUGUACUCACCGCCCGUCACACCAUGGGAGUUGUGUUUGCCUUAAGUCAGGAUGCUAA